rnacentral:lncRNA from 1 species
AUAUUCAAAGUGGCAUUUAUUUCUUAAUAAUCCAAAACAGGAAAAAAUCCAAAUGUCCUUCAAUGCAAGGGUUGUUACACAAACGGUAGUAAAUUAAUAGCACUACUCAGGCAUAAAUAGGAACAAACUGUUGAUAGACAAAGUAACUUGGACAGAUUUUAAGGAUAUUAUGUCAAAUGAAAAAAGACAACCCCGAAGGCUACAUACUGUAUGAUUACAUUCAUUCUUGAAAGGACAAAAUUAUAGAGAUGGUUAAUGGAUUAGUAGUUGUCAAUGGUUAGGGACAGGAGAAGGGAGAGUGGAAGGUGGAUGUAUUUAUAAAAGUGUGUCACUUGAGGAUUGUUGUAUUGACAGAACUGUUUUGUAUCUUGAUUACAGUGUUACAAGAAGGGAUACAUGAUAAAACCGCAGACACACAGGUACAUGAAAAACUGGUAUAGCUAAAUAACCUUGAUAGAGUGUAUCAAUGUUUGAUUUCCCAUUGUGAUCCUGUAUUAGGUUAUGCAAGAUGUUACCACAGGGAAAACUGGGUGAAAGAUAUGUGUGAUCUCUAUUAUUUCCUAUAGCUUAAUCUGAGUCUAUAGUUAUCUAAAUCCAGUCUAAUUUUAAAAUAUUUUGUAAAAUUAAUAGUUGGUAGAUUUCUGAUAUUUUUGGGAGCAGUGCUCCUAGUAUUUUAAUUAUCGGCUAGAUCUAUACAUAUAUAUUAAUACUAACAUAACCUAUAUUUCAUUAACAAGAUUAACUUUUUAUUCUAAUUUUGCCUAUUUAAAAUCAGGUACAAGGGGCACCUGGGCUGCUCAGUUGGUUAAACAUCUGACCCUUGACCUCAGCUCAGGUCUUGAUCUCAUGGUCUUGAGUUCAAGCCCCACUCCAUGCUGGGUGUGAAGUCUACUUAGAAAAACAAAAGAAAACAAAAUAAAAUCAAAUCGAGUGCAAAUAUUAAAGCCUUAUCAACAAUUUUAUAGUGUUUAGUGAUAUUACUUUCUUAAUAUAUUAUUUUGUUAUGUUUUCAUUAAUAAGUUUUCUAAUAUUGAAACACCUUUACAUUCCUGGCAUAAAUUAUAAUUGGUAGUAGUUCAUCACUUAAAAAAUUUUGUUAAAAAAAUAAAAAUAAAAAAUAAUUUUGUUAUACCCAGGUGCAUGGUGUCUCAGUUGGUUGAGUGUCUGAGUUGGCUUGGGUCGUGAUCCUGGGAUUGGGCCCCAUGUUGGGCCCCCUGCUCUCCAUUGCCUCUCCUCCAGCUCAUGUUUUCUCUCAUUCUUUCAAAUAAAUAUAUAAAAUCUUUUUUAAAAAAAAUUUUAAAAUAAGUUUUCAUUUCAGAAAACUUCACGUACAAAAGUUGAGUAACCAUAUGAGUCCCUAUGUACACAUCACCUAGAUUCAACAACUAUGAAAUCAUGGCCAAUUGUUUCAUCUCAACCCUCACAUACUCCUCCUCCAUUGAACUAUUUUGAAGUUCCAGAUUUCAUAUAAUUUUAUCUACUAAAAGACAGUGACUUUUUAAAAAUCACAUAAGCAAAAAAAAAAGGGGGGGGAUCUCUGGGUGGCUCAGCGGUUGGGCGCCUGCCUUCUGCUCAGGGCGUGAUCCUGGAGACACUGGAUCGAGACCCUGGAUCGAGUCCUGCAUCGGGCUCCCUGCAUGGAGCCUGCUUCUCCCUCCAUCUAUGUCUCUGCCUCUCUCCCUCUCUUAUGAAUAAAUAAAAUCUUAAAAAAAAAAAAAAUCACAUGAGCACAAAUGUCACUAUUAUACCCUUAUAGGCUAUUUCUUUUUUUAUUAUUUAUUUUUUAAUUUAUGAUAGAGAGAGAGAGAGAGGCAGAGACACAGGCAGAGGGAGAAGCAGGCUCCAUGCACCGGGAGCCCGACGUGGGAUUCGAUCCCGGGUCUCCAGGAUCGUGCCCUGGGCCAAGGCAGGCGCUAAACCGCUGCGCCACCCAGGGAUCCCCCUAUUAUACCCUUAUAAUCAACAAUUCUUGAAUAUAGGGACACCUGGGUGGCUCAGUGGUUGAGCGACUGCCUUUGGCUCAGGGUGUGACCCCGGGGUCCUGGGAUUGAGUCCCCCAUCGGGCUUUCUGCAGGGACCCUGCUUCUCCCUCUGCCCGGGUCUCUGCCUGUGUCCCUCAUGAAUAAAUAAAUAAAAUCUUAAAAAAACCCACAAUUCUUAAAUAUUAUCAAAUAUCCAGUGUUCACAUUUGUUUCAAGUGGGAUCCAAACAAGUUGUGCGUACUGCAAUUCGUUGACAUGACUCCUACUUCUAAGUUUAUAGAAUCUUCUGUCAUUUUAGUUUUUCCUUUUUAGGUCUUUAUUAAAGUGUUUGUCCUGUGUAGUCUCUCAGGAUUUGGAUUUUGCUGGUUACGUCCCAAUCAUGUUUAAUAGGUUAAUAUGUUCCUCUGACCCCAUCUUUCCAGAAAUGAGCAGUUAGGUCUAGGGUCUUUGUGGUGGCAGCAGUAGUCACGGAUGAUCACUGUCUAGGCACAUUAAUUCAGAUGAGUGAUAUUCUAAUUUUAUUAUUCCUUCUUAAUACUUGUAAAACUACCACCCUUGUAUUAAUGGCCCUCCAAUCAAGUUGUUAUCCGACACUCAUUCUCUGGUAGAUUCCUCAGGUCCAGGGAUCCUGGAAACAAUGUUCUAUGAGUUUGCAUAUUGAUGAUAGUUUGCUUGUGGCUUUAUACUUGAGUCAAUUUUGUUGGGCAUGUGGGUGGCUCAGUCAGUCAAGUGUCUGCCUUCAGCUGAGGUCACAGUCCCGGGGUCCUGGGACCGAGCCCUGCAUUGGGUGCCCUGCUCGGUGCAGUCUGCUUCUCCCUCUCCCCGCUUGUGCUUUCUCCCACAUUCUCUCUCUCUUUUUAAGUCAAUUUCGUUGGAAUAUAAAAUCCUGAAUAAGUUUAUGUUACUUCAUUGUCUUCUGGCACAGAAUGUCAUUAUUAGGGCAGUCCUGGUGGCUCAGUGGUUGAGUGCCUUUGGCCCAGGGCGGAUCCCUUAAUUUUUAUUUAUUUUUGAUAGUCACAGAGAGAGAGAGAGAGAGAGAGAGAGAGAGAGAGAGAGGCAGAGACAUAGGCAGGAGAAGCAGACUCCAUGCACCGGGAGCCUGACGUGGGAUUUGAUCCUGGGUCUCCAGGAUAGCGCCCUGGGCCAAAGGCAGGCGCCAAACUGCUGCGCCACCCAGGGAUCCC